UGCAAGUCGAGCGGCAGCGCGGGGCAACCUGGCGGCGAGCGGCGAACGGGUGAGUAAUGCAUCGGAACGUGUCCAUGUCGUGGGGGAUAGCCCGGCGAAAGCCGGAUUAAUACCGCAUACGCCCGAGAGGGGAAAGUGGGGGACCGCAAGGCCUCACGCGAUUGGUUCGGCCGAUGUCCGAUUAGCUAGUUGGCGGGGUAAAGGCCCACCAAGGCGAUGAUCGGUAGCUGGUCUGAGAGGAUGAUCAGCCACACUGGGACUGAGACACGGCCCAGACUCCUACGGGAGGCAGCAGUGGGGAAUUUUGGACAAUGGGGGCAACCCUGAUCCAGCCAUUCCGCGUGAGUGAAGAAGGCCUUCGGGUUGUAAAGCUCUUUUGUCCGGAACGAAACGGGUAACGUGAAUAUCGUUGCCUACUGACGGUACCGGAAGAAUAAGCACCGGCUAACUACGUGCCAGCAGCCGCGGUAAUACGUAGGGUGCGAGCGUUAAUCGGAAUUACUGGGCGUAAAGCGUGCGCAGGCGGUUUUGUAAGCCAGAUGUGAAAUCCCCGGGCUUAACCUGGGAAUGGCAUUUGGGACUGCAAGGCUCGAGUGCGGCAGAGGAGACUGGAAUUCCUGGUGUAGCAGUGAAAUGCGUAGAUAUCAGGAGGAACACCGAUGGCGAAAGGCAGGUCUCUGGGCUGACACUGACGCUCAUGCACGAAAGCGUGGGGAGCAAACAGGAUUAGAUACCCUGGUAGUCCACGCCCUAAACGAUGUCGACUGGUUGUUGGGGGUUUGACACUCUCAGUAACGAAGCUAACGCGUGAAGUCGACCGCCUGGGGAGUACGGCCGCAAGGUUAAAACUCAAAGGAAUUGACGGGGACCCGCACAAGCGGUGGAUUAUGUGGAUUAAUUCGAUGCAACGCGAAACUACCUUACCUUGACCUUUCGGAAGGUUGCU
rnacentral:rRNA from 1 species